rnacentral:rRNA from 1 species
CCCGCACAAGCGGAGGAGCAUGUGGUUUAAUUCGAUGAUACGCGGAACGGAACCUUUACCGUGGGCUACGAAACGUAAGAUGACUGUAGGUAGAAAGCUUACAUCUCUUCGGAGCUAUUUUACGGAGGUGCUGCAGUGGUUGUCGUCAGCUCGUGCCGUGAGGUGGUCGGGUUAACGUCCCAUAACGAGCGCAACCCCUACCUUUAGUUGCCAUCAGGUUAAGCGUGGGGACUCUAAAGGAACUGCCUACGCAAGUAGUGAGGAAGGCGGGGAUGACGUCAAAUCAGCACGGCCCUUACGUCCAGGGCUACACACGUGCUACAAUGGCCGAUACAGAGGGCAGCUACCUGGUGACAGGAUGCAAAUCUCCAAAGUCGGUCUCAGUUCGGAUCGGAGUCUGCAACCCGACUCCGUGAAGUCGGAAUCGCUAGUAAUCGUGAAUCAGAAUGUCACGGUGAAUACGUUCCCGGGCCUU